AGGCAAUAGAUACCCUGGUAGUCCACGCCGUAAACGAUGGCCACUCGGCCUUUGGGGGCGGAAUCUCCGCCCGUGGGGGCCUUAGCUAAACGCGGGAAGUGGCCCGCCUGGGAACUACGAGCGCAAGCUUAAAACUCAAAGGAAUUGACAGGGGCCCGCACAAGCAGCGGAGCGUGUGGUUUAAAUUCGACGCAACGCGCAGAACCUUACCCAGGUUUGACAUGCACCUGCAAGCUGCUGAAAGGCAGUCGCCUUCGAGGGUGGUGCACAGAUGCUGCAUGGCUGUCGUCAGCUCGUGUCGUGAGAUGUUGGGUUUAAGUCCCGCAACGAGCGCAACCCCUACGGUCAGUUACUUGUGUCUGGCCGGACCGCCCUUU
rnacentral:rRNA from 1 species